rnacentral:rRNA from 1 species
ACCACGCGGAGAAAACAGAGGAGAAAGAGAAGAGAAGAGAAAAUAUCCCUCCCACCUCGUCACCCCAGCUUCCUCCGCUGCCUCACCACAGCACGCCGACGAGCUCUCUCCAGUCACCACGCACGACGCCUCCUCUCCCCUUCCCCCAGAUCCGAAGCGACUGCCGCCGGCUCGCGAUCUUCCCGAACCGUACAAGAACCCGGCCGUGGCGGCGGCCGCGGCAGCGACGUACGGUGGCGGCGAGGGGUGUAUGAGGAGCAGGAACGACUGCGGGACCGCGAUUCGGAGCAGGAGCCGGUGGGGCAAGUGCGGCUGACCCGCGCCUGAGCGAGAGGCCGGUCUGUGUGUCUGGUGGGAUCGUGGGAGGAGGGAGAAGAAAGAAAGAAAGGUCGAUCUUGGGAAGCUUCCACUACGGGCUCCGAGAUGCAGAACGGCGAUUUGCGCAAGAAGAGUGCAGCGGAAAUUGAUUUCUUUACUGAAUAUGGCGAUACUAAUCGAUACAAAGUUCUGGAGGUCAUAGGCAAAGGUAGUUAUGGACUUGUAUGUUCUGCAAAUGAUACACAAACAGGAGAGAAGGUUGCAAUAAAGAAGAUACACAACAUUUUUGAGCAUAUAUCGGAUGCUGCACGCAUACUCCGUGAAAUCAAGCUUCUCAGGCUUCUUAGGCAUCCUGAUGUAGUGGAAAUAAAGCAUAUCUUGCUCCCCCCAUCCAAAAAGGAUUUCAAAGAUAUAUAUGUUGUCUUUGAACUUAUGGAGUCAGAUCUUCAUCAAGUAAUAAAGGCUAAUGAUGAUUUGACGAGGGAGCAUUAUCAGUUUUUCUUGUAUCAGAUGCUUCGAGCUUUGAAAUAUAUGCACACAGCAAAUGUCUAUCACCGAGAUUUGAAGCCCAAGAAUGUGCUUGCCAACGCAAAUUGCAAACUCAAAAUUUGUGACUUUGGCUUGGCGAGAGUUGCAUUCAAUGAUGCACCUACGACAGUCUUCUGGACAUAUACACCAGCUAUUGAUAUAUGGAGUAUAGGGUGCAUUUUUGCCGAGGUGUUGAUUGGAAAGCCUCUAUUUCCUGGUAAAAAUGUUGUUCACCAGCUGGAUUUGAUAACUGAUGUUCUGGGGACACCUUCAUUAGAUGCUAUUUCUCAGGUGCGGAAUGACAAGGCAAGAAAAUAUCUGACAUGCAUGCGGAAGAAACAGCCUGCUUCGUUUUCGCAGAAAUUUCCAAAGGCUGACCCAUUAGCAUUACGAUUGCUUAGGAGGCUUCUAGCUUUUGAUCCAAAGGAUCGUCCCUCUGCUGAAGAGGCAUUGGCAGAUCCAUACUUUAAUGGACUAGCAAAGGUAGAGCGAGAACCAUCUUGUCAACCGAUACCAAAAAUUGAAUUUGAAUUUGAGGGUCGUAGAGUAACAAAGGAGGACAUCAAGGAACUGAUCUUUGAAGAAAUUUUGGAGUAUCAUCCUCAAUUACUGAAGGAGCAUAUCAGUGGAACAGACAGACGAAACUUUGUUCAUUUAAGUGCUGUCGACCAAUUUAAGAAACGCUUCGCUGAACUCGAGGAAAAUGGUGGCGAAAAUGGAUCAGCUGUUUCAUCACAGAGGAAACAUUCUUCUUUGCCAAGGCAAUCCUUCAACCCCCAUUAGACGUGUAAUGACCUGUGACAGUGAAAACUCACAGGAUAUGAAGAUCCAAGAAGCUUACCAUCUGUACUCCCUCGGCAACCAAAAUAUGAAGCACCGCACUCUCAGAACCAAGUAUCUAGUGGGUCAGUGCUUGAUGCGACAGGUCCAACUCCCAACACAAUAUGUACAUGGAGGAGUAUAUGUAGACUCCAGAACAGGGAACUUACUUCUAUCUGCAUCAUGGUAUAAGGGUUGAUAUACCAGGUGAGGAGUAUAUGUAGACUCCAGAUCAGGGAACUUACUUCUAUCUGCAUCAUGGUAUAAGGGUUGAUAUACCAGGUGACAGUAUCGCACAGGCAGUCUCUGUUCCUCAUGGCUCAGUUCUGGCUGUAUGUUGCAGCAUGGCGUUUCCAGGGAUGUUUCGAGCCUAGGGUUAUUUGGCAUUGAAUCAUGGAGGUCUGGCUUUUUUAUUUGUUAGUCCCCCAAAUCAUGGAGGUCGAACCUAGGAUUCCAGCUUCAUCUUGUACAUGGGAUGUUUCACAGCUUCUUUGCAACCAAGCCCCCCAAAUGUACCACACAGUUGGAUCAUAAUGUGCCUCCUAGGGAUUGAGUUGCAAAGCUCGUUUGUUCUGAAUGCUUAAACUUUUUCCAUGGGAAGCUGUGAGGUGGCUAGGUCAAAGAAUAGGAUUGUCGUGAUUUACUUCAACCGCUAAUAUCAGUUGUUUAGGAAAUACUCCUGCAUUUUAACGCGAGGGACCUUGCUGUGUUUAGCAGCGUGUUAACCAAAGGAACUUGAGCAUAUAAUCUGAAUCAUUUCCAAUAGUUACUGUAAAGGAAUGUGCGAAGGUCGGAUGCCAUAGACCAAAUUAACUGUUCCGGUGAGCUGGGUAAAUAAACUGUUCUUUUCCAUCGAUAUUGAUGUUGUUCC